rnacentral:rRNA from 1 species
AGCGGCAGGCUUAACACAUGCAAGUCGAGGGGCAGCGAGGGUAGCAAUACCUGUCGGCGACCGGCGCAAGGGUGCGUAACGCGUGAGCAACAUGCCCGUAUCAGGGGGAUAAUCCAGGGAAACUUGGUCUAAUACCCCAUAGAAAUCAUUUAAGGCAUCUUUUAUGAUUUAAAGCUUAGGUGGAUACGGAUUGGCUCGCGUGACAUUAGUUAGAUGGUAGGGUAACGGCUUACCAUGACUAUGAUGUCUAGGGGUUCUGAGAGGAAGGUCCCCCACACUGGAACUGAGACACGGUCCAGACUCCUACGGGAGGCAGCAGUGAGGAAUAUUGGACAAUGGAUGGAAAUCUGAUCCAGCCAUGCCGCGUGCAGGAAGACGGCCCUAUGGGUUGUAAACUGCUUUUGUAUGGGAGCAAUAAGAUCUACGUGUAGAUUGAUGAGAGUACCAUACGAAUAAGCACCGGCUAACUCCGUGCCAGCAGCCGUGGUAAUACGGAGGGUGCAAGCGUUAUCCGGAUUUAUUGGGUUUAAAGGGUGCGUAGGCGGUUUGAUAAGUCAGCGGUGAAAUAUUUCAGCUUAACUGGAAGGGUGCCGUUGAUACUGUCGAGCUUGAAUUUAGUUGCUGUGGGUGGAAUGUGUGGUGUAGCGGUGAAAUGCAUAGAUAUCACACAGAAUAUCGAUUGCGAAGGCAGCUCACAAAGCUAAUAUUGACGCUGAUGCACGAAAGUGUGGGGAUCAAACAGGAUUAGAUACCCUGGUAGUCCACACUGUAAACGAUGAUAACUCGCUGUCGGCGAUACACAGUCGGUGGCCAAGCGAAAGCGAUAAGUAU